rnacentral:lncRNA from 1 species
GGAAUUGGAAUCGUUUACGUCGUCUUUAUAGGAAUGUGUUUUCUGUGAUUGGUCCUUGUAGGGACUUAUGGGGACGUAAGACCGUGGGCCUCAACGCAAAGGACAAAGUUAGUGUCUUUAAUCUGCGUUGGGAGAAUUCUCCAUCCCGCACUGGCUGAGCCCAGAGAAGACUGGAAAACGGAAAAAGAGGACUCUAGGAAAUUCCCAAUAGGGAACAAUGCGUCUGCUUCAGAGUGUCAACGUGAAAAGCUGCCAUCAGCAAGGAGAAUCUUCCUAAAACAGUGUCCACAAAGGGUCUUUAGACCAGCCUCGUAAUAACAGUGCAGAAAAUGAGAAAUGAAGAGGUGAAGAUGAUAAUCAAGACAGGAGAACAGUGCCCACGCCGUGAGUUUGGAACAAAGAAGAUCAGUACAGGUUGGUGCCCAAAAAUGUCUCGUGAGUAGACCAGCCGUACUUUCUCACCAUGCAGAUGAUUUCAUGACCCACGG